UUUCCAAAAGACGAAACGCCAUUAUAAAUACGGCAUCUGGUUGGUCCGAGUAACCCACACACAAUCGCAAACAUCUUUUUGAAUAUCGUGGCACUUCGCCGGACUUCGAAACUCGUCGGAGAGCACCUUCUACGCGUAAGCUGCACAUCGUCGGAGUCGGAAUGUUCGCCGGAGUAAUCGCGACCUCAUCGGAGUAACCAAGUUCGUCGGAGUUCACAACGAAGACUGUUUGGGCAUCGUUAUCACCGAAUUCGCAGGAGUGUCACGACGAAACCGCAUAAGAUCGUUUCGGUUAAUCGCUCUCGUUCAUUCUCUUGGAAUUCUCAACUCUUUACUCGUGCGUAUUUACAAGAAAUCGCAAUGCAACCAAUGGUGAGGAAGUCAAGAUUUGAAGAAAUGAAUAGGAUGGCCUAGAAACCC